GAUGAACGCUGGCGGCGUGCCUAAUACAUGCAAGUCGAGCGAAUGGAUUAAGAGCUUGCUCUUAUGAAGUUAGCGGCGGACGGGUGAGUAACACGUGGGUAACCUGCCCAUAAGACUGGGAUAACUCCGGGAAACCGGGGCUAAUACCGGAUAACAUUUUGAACCGCAUGGUUCGAAAUUGAAAGGCGGCUUCGGCUGUCACUUAUGGAUGGACCCGCGUCGCAUUAGCUAGUUGGUGAGGUAACGGCUCACCAAGGCAACGAUGCGUAGCCGACCUGAGGGGGUGAUCGGCCACACUGGGACUGAGACACGGCCCAGACUCCUGCGGGAGGCAGCAGUAGGGAAUCUUCCGCAAUGGACGACAGUCUGACGGAGCAACGCCGCGUGAGUGAUGAAGGCUUUCGGGUCGUAAAACUCUGUUGUUAGGGAAGAACAAGUGCUAGUUGAAUAAGCUGGCACCUUGACGGUACCUAACCAGAAAGCCACGGCUAACUACGUGCCAGCCGCCGCGGUAA
rnacentral:rRNA from 1 species